AUUUUAGCCCAACCUAAAGUAAUCUAUUUAUAAUAAGAUACCCCCGCCAACUUUAGAGCAAUUCAAAUGAGGUACAGCCCAUUUGACAUAGGAUACAACCUUUACUAACGGGUAAUACUCAGCACUUGUUUUCAAGUUGGCCUAAGAGCAGCCACCUUAUAAAAAGCGUCAAAGCUUAAUUACAUUGCACACUAAUCUAAUAAUUACCACAGACCCCUUUUGUAUUAUCGAGAACUUCUAUAAUAUUAUAGACCCUUUAAUGCUAAAACUAGUAACAAGAGUAAACCUCCUCUCUUUAAUGUAAGCAUAAGCCAGUAAGAACCCAUCACCGGCAACUAACAGACUGCAAAGUAACAACUUAUCUAGAAAACCUUACUCCAUAAACUGUUAACCUAACACCAGAACAUUUCAAGAAAGAUUAAAAGAAAAAGAAGGAACUCGGCAAAUACUAGUCCCGCCUGUUUACCAAAAACAUCGCCUCUUGCUAAAUCAUAAGAGGUCCAGCCUGCCCAGUGACUCUGUUUAACGGCCGCGGUAUCCUAACCGUGCAAAGGUAGCGUAAUCACUUGUUUUUUAAAUAAAGACUUGUAUGAAAGGCAUCACGAAGACUAACCUGUCUCCUUUUUCUAAUCAGUGAACCUAAUCUCUCCGUGAAGAAGCGGGGAUUUAACCAUAAGACGAGAAGACCCUAUGGAGCUUAAAACAUCAUUACACAUGCCCCCACAACCUUAGGCACUCUGAUAAUAUGUUUUUGGUUGGGGUGACCGCGGAGAAAAACCCAUCCUCCACAAUGAAAGGGGCCUUCCCCUAAACAACAAGUCACAGCUUUAUGUAUCAACAAAUUGACAUCCAUUGACCCAAUAUUUGAUUAACGAACCAAGUUACCCUAGGGAUAACAGCGCAAUCCACUUUGAGAGCUCCUAUCGACAAGUGGGCUUACGACCUCGAUGUUGGAUCGGGGUAUCCUAGUGGUGCAGCCGCUACUAAAGGUUCGUUUGUUCAACGAUUAAAACCCCACGUGAUCUGAGUUCAGACCGGAGUAAUCCAGGUCAGUUUCUAUCUAUGAAAAGCUAUUUUUAGUACGAAAGGACCAAAAUAGCAUGGCCAAUGAUUAAACAAGCCGUACUUAAUUAUUUUCUCAAAAAAUUAUUAAUUUUCCACCAUAAAUCAAGAAAAGAACA
rnacentral:rRNA from 1 species